CGGGGCGUGGCGCAGCCUGGUAGCGCACUGGCAUGGGGUGCCAGGAGUCGGAGGUUCAAAUCCUCUCGCCCCGACCA
rnacentral:tRNA from 1 species